GCCUGGGUGGUGGAAUUGGUAGACACGCUAGUUUCAGGGACUAGUGGGGGUAACUCCGUGAAGGUUCGAGUCCUUUUCCAGGCA
rnacentral:tRNA from 1 species